UACGUAGGGUGCGAGCGUAAUCGGAAUUACUGGGCGUAAAGCGUGCGCAGGCGGUUUUGUAAGCCAGAUGUGAAAUCCCCGGGCUUAACCUGGGAAUGGCAUUUGGGACUUGCAAGGCUUGAGUGCGGCAGAGGAGACUGGAAUUCCUGGUGUAGCAGUGAAAUGCGUAGAUAUCAGGAGGAACACCGAUGCGAAGGCAGGUCUCUGGGCUGACACUGACGCUCAUGCACGAAAGCGUG
rnacentral:rRNA from 1 species